rnacentral:rRNA from 1 species
CCAAGUCACGAGCGAGAUACACGGACCGCACGUCCUCAGCCUCACCUCACGAUUCACAGCAACCAGCAGCCGCUCCUCUUUUCUCUCCCACGCGACGAACCCUAGCCGGCGCCCACCGCUGAGGCCCGAUGCCUCAACCCCCGCGAGCCAUCAGCCCGUGACCGCCGCACCGAGGCGCGCCACGCGCCCCUGCCGGCGCGUGGAGCCGCGCCUAGGACCGGUGAGGCGCUGACGACCAGCAUCAAGCCGCCAAUCGCCGUGCCCCGUCCGUCGCGCCGCGCUGCCAACCUCGACCCUCCCCCAUCGCUUCACCGCUCUUGACGCGGCCAUCCAUGCCGUGCUCCGCCUCGCAAUUCGUCACCACCAUCUAAUCUGCAGUUUCUCACCACCUCGUCCUCUUCCACGUUGGUCGCCGGCUCGGUGCCUACUGUCCUCUUCCCAUGCUUCAUCUCACAACUGAAGGUAAGCCAGCUUCAUCUCUGAUCUCUCUAUGUGCAUCAAACUAAUGAUGAAAAGUUUGGUCAGAGAAGACAAAGAAGAAAGAUAGAACAACGAGGAUAGUGAUGGUCAAGUUGUAUAAGUGGCGUCAUUGGGAUUAAAAAUUCUGGAAAGAGGAUGUUAAGUGUGCGGCCAGAAAUCUGUAUAUAUUGUAUGGCUUGGUCAUGGUUAACCUCAUUUGAUUAACGAAAAAGGCUUUCGCCCCGCUAUAUUGAUAUAGCAACCGCC